GGCUGGGCCCAGCUCCAUGGCUGUUGUCUUGGGCAUGACUGCACUGCAACCAGAAAAUCCUCCUCACAACCAGCAAAUCAUCCACUCUGAGUGCCUGCAAGUUUCUGCUGUGUUAGAGCUGGAGCUGAAGCACCAGUGGAGGUUUAAUCGAAAUCUGAAUACAUGUGACUGAAAUUGGCUGGCUGUGAUUAUUUAUACAAGUAAAUCUCUGCUUCUCACCAGCUCCCAGAAAUCAAAUGCCAGCCUUGUAUGAUCAUUUUCUGAAAGGAGUAAAUAUUUGUUGAAAAUUCUUUGCUAGAUUAAUUUCACUCUGCCUUCUCUCAGGCAGCUCUGAUAGGGAUGGGGUGACUCGGUGACUCCUGGAGUGCAUCAAUCAACCCAGGGAAGAGGGACCAAAAUAAGCUGAUUACUUGGUCUAUAACCUUUUAUCCUGGGAAUGAAACCCAAACUUUUCAGGUAGCCAAGCAAAGCCCUUAAAACAGCUCAUUUUUCCCAUGUGUCUGCAUAUCCUGCUACAACCUUCAGGGAAAAGAUCCUUACUUCAACACUGGGCAGGUCAGGUACAGCUACUUGAAGCAGGAGGUAGGUUAAAAAUCCAUGUUUUGCUAACCUCCAUUUAAAAGCCCAUCUGACAGUAAGUGGUUUAUAACUCUACAAGCAGGCACUAAUAUUUUUGUGUCAGUUCCUGUUGCUGAUUUUUGUUUCUUUUACUUUCUCUCUGCCCUCUUCCCUUUUUUCUUUGCCUUUCUCUCUUCUUUUGUUUUGGGUUUGUUGUUUUCUUUUUGGUGGUAACCCUUUUACCUUCUUUUUUUCCCUGCUCAGACCCAUUAGCAGGAUGUUGUGCAAUAUGGUGCUUGUCAUCUGUUUCAAAGGCACAGUGAUGAGAUACAGGUAUGCCAGAUGGAUAAACCUAGUGUGACUAAUUAUUGUGUAUUUGCCUUUAAUUAUUAUCAUUUAUUACCAGAGAAAAGACAAUAGAGGUUCCCAGACUUGGAAGGGAAUGUCGGCAGAAGGGGAACUUUUUUUUUCAUCUCUAAGAGAUUGGCACAUCAGCAAGAAAAAGUUUUCUUCCUGGGGAGAGACACAAGCAAACACCAAGACAAGAGGAGUCAACAUGACCCACGCCAACACUCUCCUUUCCCUGACACAUAGCUGAGGAUCAGAUAGCUCACAGGAACCAGCCAGGCUGUGCAGUUAUCUCCAUACUGCACAGAGUUGAUAAUGCAGCAAAGUGAAGCUUGCUUUCUUUGCCCAUUGCACGUGGUGGGAACGGGGCAUUGUUCAGCUGCAGAACAAUGCGAUGUUCCCUCAGCCUGUGGCAACAGCAGCAGAAUGGCAAAGAGGUGUCCUCUCCCUGUGCUUCUGCUUUUGUUUCUCAAGUGUUCACUGGUCCUAAGUAAACCCAUUCUUCUCAUCUUCAGGCCAACAUCAUUCCAGCAACCAGGGAUAUAAAACAUGCACACACGAAGGCCUCUCCUGCCCGUGGCAGCCAGAGCACCUUGCAGACAUCCUGCCUCACCUGCUGACACAAUCCAUCAGCACCCACUGAAAUCAAAUGCAGCUAAUUGGAAGGUGAUGACAACCAGAAGUCUGCUGGAUUUGCACGCUGAUUCCUCUAUUUUAGCAUCACACA